CAAUGGGCGAAAGCCUGACGCAGCCAUGCCGCGUGGAUGAUGAAGGUCUUAGGAUUGUAAAAUCCUUUCACCGGGGACGAUAAUGACGGUACCCGGAGAAGAAGCCCCGGCUAACUUCGUGCCAGCAGCCGCGGUAAUACGAAGGGGGCUAGCGUUGCUCGGAAUUACUGGGCGUAAAGGGCGCGUAGGCGGACAUUUAAGUCGGGGGUGAAAUCCCAGGGCUCAACCCUGGAACUGCCUUCGAUACUGGAUGUCUUGAGUGCGGGAGAGGUGUGUGGAACUCCGAGUGUAGAGGUGAAAUUCGUAGAUAUUCGGAAGAACACCAGUGGCGAAGGCGACACACUGGCCCGUUACUGACGCUGAGGCGCGAAAGCGUGGGGAGCAAAAGGGAUUAGAUACC
rnacentral:rRNA from 1 species